GUCAAGUAGACAAGGGCGCACGGUGAAUGCCUAGGCACUAGCAGCCGAAGAAGGACGUGACGAACUACGAAAAGCUUCGGGGAGUUGUAAGUAAACUAAGAUCCGGAGAUGUCCAAAUGGGGAAACCCAAUGCAGUGAUGCAUUAUUACUAGCCGAAUAGAUAGGCUGGUAAAGGAAGACGCAGUGAACUGAAACAUCUAAGUACCCGGA
rnacentral:rRNA from 1 species